CCCUCCCUCCCCCUCGCCGCCUCUCUUCAGGUUCCUGGUUAAGAUGGCGUCCCCGGUGGCCAUCGCGGCGCAGGCUGGGAAGCUUCUGCGAGAGCGAGCGCUGCGGCCGCUCCUGGCGGUCAGGUCCCAGGCCGGUCACUUAACCCCCCGAAGAUGGCUGAACCUGCAGGAGUACCAGAGCAAGAAGCUCAUGUCAGAGCACGGAGUGAGAGUGCAGAGGUUCUUUGUUGCCAACACUGCUAAAGAGGCUCUGGAGGCAGCCAAGAGAUUGAGAGGAGGAAAGUAGACAGAGGAGGCUGGCGUGUGCAUGGUAAUUGAAAAUGGCUGGUGGUGAGGGGCGAUGUAGGAACAGCUGUUUCCUUCUGCUGGAGGAUGAAGAUACACAGAGUCUCCCAGCCUAUUGUUGUUUACACGGAAACAACCAGAUGCAAAAGAAAUUGUUUUAAAAGCCCAGAUCUUAGCUGGAGGAAGAGGAAAAGGUGUCUUCAAUAGCGGUUUGAAAGGAGGUGUUCAUUUAACAAAAGACCCUAAAGUAGUGGGAGAGUUGGCUCAACAGAUGAUUGGUUAUAAUCUAGCAACGAAACAAACUCCAAAAGAAGGUGUGAAAGUUAACAAGGUGAUGGUUGCUGAAGCCCUGGAUAUUUCUAGAGAAACAUACUUGGCCAUUCUAAUGGACCGGUCCCAUAAUGGCCCUGUGAUAGUGGGCAGUCCUCAGGGGGGCGUUGAUAUUGAGGAAGUGGCAGCUUCCAGUCCAGAACUCAUCUUUAAGGAGCAGAUUGACAUCUUUGAAGGGAUAAAGGAUAGCCAGGCCCAGCGCAUGGCAGAAAAUCUGGGCUUCCUUGGGUCUCUGAAAAACCAGGCUGCAGAUCAGAUUACAAAGCUGUACCAUCUCUUCCUGAAGAUUGAUGCCACUCAGGUGGAAGUGAACCCCUUCGGUGAAACUCCAGAAGGACAAGUUGUCUGUUUUGAUGCCAAGAUAAACUUUGAUGACAAUGCUGAGUUCCGACAAAAGGACAUAUUUGCUAUGGACGACAAAUCCGAGAAUGAGCCCAUUGAAAAUGAAGCUGCCAGAUACGAUCUCAAGUAUAUAGGACUGGACGGGAACAUUGCCUGCUUCGAGCUGCUGUCGAUGAGCUCAUCGACAUAAUGCAUGCCUGCCUAAGGUGAGGAAAGAACAGACCUGUCAGACGUUGGUUUAGUCCCGAAGGUUGCACAUUCAGAGAGCAUCUCCACAGGGACAAGCUAAGUAUUGCUUUUGGUUCACAUAAUUUGAAUGGCUAGCCACUCCUCACAGCCAUAAUUGUUCUGCCCAUCCUCCUACCUGCAGCCUUUUCAGAACUCACAGCCAAAUUGGUUCCUCUCCUUAACCUUUUUGAGUUAUUGAUGAAUCCUCCUCAUUUCUCUGUUUGUUUGUUUGUUUGUUUGUUUUGGGAUACACUUAUCCCAAAUUUUAACCAUAAAUUAGUUUAUGAGUUGAAUCCCAAUUCAGGGUACAGAUUGGCCUAGAAAUGAUAGUGUUCUUGUUUGGCCCUCAGUGUUCCCACCCCAUUUCCAUGCUGUUUGUUUAAUGUUUCCAUGUCACGGACCAUUUGCAUUUCACAGUGAAUGGUGCUGGGCUGGCCAUGGCUACCUGCGACAUCAUCUUCCUGAACGGAGGGAAGCCAGCGAACUUCUUGGACCUUGGAGGUGGUGUAAAGGAAGCCCAAGUCUAUGAAGCAUUCAAACUGCUCACGUCUGACCCCAAGGUGGAAGCCAUUCUCGUCAAUAUCUUUGGUGGGAUCGUCAACUGUGCCAUCAUUGCCAACGGAAUCACCAAAGCCUGCCGGGAGCUGGAGCUCAAGGUGCCACUGGUAGUCCGGCUUGAAGGAACUAAUGUGCAGGAGGCUCAGAAUAUCCUCAAGAGCAGCGGACUCCCCAUCACGUCAGCUGUGGACCUGGAGGAUGCAGCCAAGAAAGCUGUUGCCAGUGUGGCAAAGAAGUGAUGCUCUCCCUGGCUCCCAUGAAGAAGGGCAUGUCCCUGACUACUGUGAAAGCAAUUGUUUUCUCACUGGGAAGGGACACACACAAGGAUCAUCAUGUGAAAAAUAUUAACUCUGAACUUUCUCAAAUACGUUAUCCAGAGUGCCUAAAGCUGAAUUUAUACUGUAGUCAUUGUUUAAAAAAAAAAAUCACUCCUUACAAUUUCACAUCUUCUCUUGCCCAUUCAGUAGCAGGGUCUACCAGCUCUGGGCCACAGUCAGUUUAGCCAAAUAGUGUGCAUACAUACAGUAUUUAAAGCCAGAUCUAGGUUCAUUCACAAGGGCAUUUAUUCUACAUUAGAAAAUUUUACAGGACCCUCAAGUUCAGACAGGCUGAUAUUUAACAUAGUGGCUUCCAGAAGGGUACAGCUAAGACACCUGAGCUUCUGUGACCAGUGGCCUCCACUGGCCCCUAAUUCCAGUACAUUAAGAAAGCCCAUGAACAUUUCUAAAGUGUGGCUUAUAUUGGGCAUCCCGUGUUGAUAUAUGUACAUUGCACACAUUUUACCCUGUGCCUUAAUGUUGAAUCUACUGUUUGCCUCACACUAAGUUACUACCAGAAGCCUUAGUCAUGGGUGUGAGGUGGAAGGUUUCAUUUUGUGUCAGAGUUGCUGAAUGUUAAUCUAUUUCAUAAAGAGUCACACUAAUGAUCUAGCUGCUGGUAGCGGCCAGGCUUUUCCCUCUUGUCCCCUCCACCUCACAUCUAUCAGUUUGCCACAGAAAGAUGAGAGAUGCCAUUGGACAGAAUGUGACCUUCCUAAUGAUGUCCUUUUUUGUGACAGGAAUUUUCUUAACUUGAUUUUUUUGAUUUAAUUUUGAUAAAUUUAUAGUCCUAUACAUUUUAAAUAAAAUUGUUUUUCAGUGCUACUUAGCCUCACAGUUCUUGUUUCUGUCUGUUAUCUGUUCUUGUGAAGACACUAGCCUCUGUGCCAGAGGCCUAGCUCUAGUUAAGAAACUGCAGUUGACCCGGAUUGUUCCAGCGCCACAGUGCCUUGCCAUGUGACCAUUUCUGUGGUGGUGAUUCAGUGAAGGGCUAACAUGUACACAUUAGACACAAGCCCAGGAAUCUGUCCCUGACGGUGGUCAGGGUGGUGUGGUGCAGUCACGCACUGUGCCGUGUAGCAGGGGCCACGUCGGUGUAACAGUCUUCCCAUCCGUACGCCCCGGCACAGCGAGCCACACUUUAUUUCAUGUUAGCCUCACACAGUUCACAGAUUGAUAAAAUAAAAAGUCUUCACUUGAUAAAUCCACAUGUGCCGUGGAGAAAUAAAGAAACAUCGACUAGAUCAAAUCCUGCGUCUUUUCUCAAACAUGACAAGGAGUGAAGACUAUUGACAAGGUCUUUUUAAAUCUCCUGUUUUCUGAUAGCUGACUAACUAGUUUGCACAGUUAAAUAGAAGUAAAUGUGCAUUUCCUCAGUUAGCAAACAAUAAAGGAACUGUGUCUAUCUUGUAUAUUGAUGUUUCUAAUCAACCAGUUUGGAGGGGAAAGAAACGAAAGCAUACGUGUAGUUAUUUUAUAGAAGGGUUAAUAUUAGUUAAUAAUAGGCAAAUAGUUUUUCUCUUCAAAUGAGCUUCCUUUUCUCUCUCUUCCUUUCUUUCUUUCUCUCUUUCUUUCCUUCUUUCUUUCUUUCUUUCUUUCUUUCUUUCUCUCUUUCUCUUUUUCUCUCUUUCUCUCUCUCUUUUUCUUUAUUUCUCUUUCUUUCUCUCUGUCUUUCUUUCUGUCUGUCUGUCUGUCUGUCUUUCUGUCUUUCCUCCUUUCUUUCUUUCUGAAGUGCCAAUUGUGUGUGUUUGGAUUGCUCAAAUCCCCGAUGUUGUACCAGUAUCAUGCCUGUAUCCUGAAGUGUGUGGAACGGACCCUGCAAUACUUAGUCAUAGAGAAUCUGCUGCAGCUAUGCUGUUGGUUCCUAAGUCCCCCUAUGUGCCCUACUCUGGUGUGUCCCAUGUCUUGAAUUUCUUAACAGCCUGUAACUAUAUAAAAAUAUUAAAAUAGUUACCUUUCA